rnacentral:rRNA from 1 species
CUACCAAGGCGACGAUCCGUAGCUGGUCUGAGAGGAUGAUCAGCCACACUGGGACUGAGACACGGCCCAGACUCUACGGGAGGCAGCAGUGGGGAAUAUUGGACAAUGGGGGCAACCCUGAUCCAGCCAUACCGCGUGUGUGAAGAAGGCCUUAGGGUUGUAAAGCACUUUCAGUGGGGAGGAAAAGUUGCCGGCGAAUACCCGGCG